UACGUAGGGAGCAAGCGUUGUUCGGAUUUACUGGGCGUAAAGGGCGCGUAGGCGGCCCGGUAAGUCCGCUGUGAAAGUCGGGGGCUCAACCCUCGAAUGCCGGUGGAUACUGUCGGGCUAGAGUGCGGGAGAGGCGAGUGGAAUUCCUGGUGUAGCGGUGAAAUGCGCAGAUAUCAGGAGGAACACCAAUUGCGAAGGCAGCUCGCUGGAACGUAACUGACGCUGAGACGCGAAAGCGUGGGGAGCAAACAGG
rnacentral:rRNA from 1 species